CGCGGGAUCAAAAAGGCCACACCGGGACGGAAUGCUUUCCUCCAAGAACUGGCUGUCAAGCUUGCGUAGCGGUGCUUUUCCUGACUGAGCCACCUCACACAACCAGUUCUUACUGCACAGCUGUGCUGGUUAAUCUGUCAACUUCACACAACCUACAGUCAUCUGAGAAGAGGCAACCUUCAUUCAGAAAAUGCUAGCAUCAGACUGACCUGUAAGGAGGGCCCAGCCACCGUAGGUGGUGCCCCCACCCCCGGCAGACAGUCCUGGGCUGUGGAAUAAUUGGAAUUGCAGUAAGCCAGUAAGCAGCGUCCUCCAUGGUAUCUGUUUUAGUUUCUGCCUCCAGCUCCUGUCCUGAGUUCCUGCCCUCAGUGAUGGAUGUCCAGAAGUGUGCUUCAGCAUCUGGACAUGAUUCUAGCAACUUCCCAAACACAGAGAAGAUGAAGGGAGUCUCACGAGAACAACAUUGUCCACGCAGAACUGGAAGCAGACACAGCUGUGCACACCUAUAGUCUCAGGAGCAGGAAAUACGCUAGACCCUUCAAGGACAGAAUCACUCUCCAAAGGACACCCCACUUCAGUAAAGUAACCGACAGAGGGCGAGGGAGAUAGCCCACAGGAGGCUGCAGUGGUCGUCGCCACUCUCCGAGCUUCAUCAUGCCGCCCAAGGAUGACAAGAAUAAGAAAGAUGCCAGAAAGUCAGCCAAAAAAGACAAAGGCCCAGUAAAUAAGUCUGGUGGCAAGGCCAAAAAGAAGUGGUCCAAAGGCAAAGUUCGGGACAAGCUCAACAAUCUAGUCCUGUUUGACAAGGCUACAUACGACAAACUCUGUAAGGAAGUGCCCAACUAUAAACUUAUUCUGUAAGGAAGUUCCCAACUAUAAACUUAUUACUCCAGCCGUGGUCUCUGAGAGACUGAAGAUUCACGGUUCCUUGGCCAGGGCAGCUCUUCAGGAGCUCCUUAGUAAAGGGCUUAUCAAGCUGGUUUCAAAGCACAGAGCCCAAGUAAUUUACACCAGAAACACAAAGGGUGGAGAUGCCCCAGCUGCUGGUGAAGAUGCAUGAACAGGUUCAAUCAG